CGAUAUACCAAUCGAGCUCGAGGAUAUUCGACUAGUACUAGAUUAAGAAAUCGAAAAGGAGGUUCUAAAAAUUAUAAAUUCAUAAUGCAUUUUGUAUGGAUGUCAUAUGCGGAUCCGAGGAUUCAAGAAUAUGUCUCGAUCGAAUUUUGGCCAAUUGCAACAUCUAGCAUGUCAAAGUGUCAUUGGUCGUUUUUGCAAAGGUCGAGAUGCACGAAUGUGAUCAAGUCAUGUGAUAGUUCAAGUGUAUGCAACGUAUUCUGUCGCCACCUCAAGAGCUCGAUGACCUAUACAAGAUCGACUUGUGGAGGAGACUCGAGGAAUAUUAGCCAACAUUCCACAAAAAGUAUAUCGAGAUGUGGGAGUGUAGCUUCAAAGAGUAGGCAACAUCGCCGUAGAAAGCCAAAACGAGUGCCUAUCAAUCCUAGGUCGGGAGAUGGAGAUGAAGUGAGAUCGACAUCUGCCCCAUUUGCAUCGGAGGACCUGAUUGUCGUGCAACCUCCCGAUCAGUGUGGUUCAUUUAUUUUUGCUUCGAAGCCAUUUUUUUGUUACAAGCAUCACAACACACACACAUACACACACAAAAAAACUGAUAAUACUCUGAAACAUCAUAUUUUUAUGUGCUAAUUGCAUGUUUAUUUUGAGUAUGUCCUACUAAUUUGGGCUAUUUUAGGGUUCUUUGUCUUGUAGGGACUUAAUUGAAGAUAAAAGGAAAUUUGGGGGCAAAAAGCGUGAAAUUAAAUAUGAAUUGGGCCAGCAUACGAAGUAGGAGAGAAGUGGUGCCGAAAAUGCAAAGUAUGGAAAACUUUUGGAGCAAAAAUACAAAAGAAGAGAUUUUAUAGCAUAAGACUCUAUUUUAGUUUCAAUUAUAUUAGGAUAAUUAUUAAUGAUUUUUACUUAGAUUUAAUUUUAGGAUUUAUUUUCAUUUAUCUUUAAUUAUCUUUAUUUAUUUUUAUUUAUCUUUGAGAAUUUAAUUAGGAAUAGGCUAGGUUUUCUAGUACUAUAAAUAGGGGAUGGAGUGACACAUAUUUGACAACUCUUUUUUCUGUAAGCACCUCUUCACCUAAAAAGUUUGUUUUUUGUUCUCUCCA